CACAUGGACACAUUUUUCGCACGCACGCAUACAUUCGCUCACACACACACACACACACACACAUUCUCACGCUGAUGCACAUAGACUGGACGCACACAAUGUUUUGAAUUUGUUUUUGUUUUGCAAUAUGCGUACCGUUGUUUGUUACGAUGAUGGCGACGACGCCGCUGCCGACGACGACGACGAUGAUGAUGAUGACGACGAUGAUAAUAUCCCCUGCAGCUGAUAUGGCGUUGCACAAUUCGUUGCACACAGACACACAUACACACACACAUGCACACAUCUGUGCACGCGCUGCUCAUUAGCUAAAUAACAUCUACAGAGCGAGAACGACCGACGCCCGGCCUCUCUACGCGCAAACACACAACCAUGCCCGAACCAGUAAACGUAAAUCACGACCAUUUCGAUCGCACGCGCGCGAUCACACACGCAUAUACUUCAACCCCUCCUGCUAAUGCAUAAAUAUGUCUGUGCAAAGCUCCGCCCGUUUAACCAUGUAUGCUGUGUCUAACACGUGUUUAUCAAGGCAGCAAGCAUUCACGGUGUUUUCCUCGUACCAUCAUCUGCAGAGCAGCCUUUAACGACGGCCUGAAAUCGGUGGAAUCAGACCAAAUCGGGUUGCCAGCAACGACGGACAAUGCGCCGAAGUCGUUUGAAACGAAACCUCGAUUUUAGCAGCCAAGUACAAUCGUCGGCUUUUUUGCUCCUCUCUAACAAGUCAAUAUUGCUUGACCAGACGGACAGGGCCGCAUACAAGAACCCUUACAACACCAUAGCCAACAACAACAGCAACAGCAACUACUACUACUACUACUACUACUACUACUACUACUACUACUACUACUACUACUACUACUACUACUGCAAAAUUCUCCGGUCGUCUGUUGAUAUAUUAUUAACACUUGCUAAUUUCAUCUUUCUAACAGCGUUGAAAUUAUAUUGCAACACC
rnacentral:lncRNA from 1 species